rnacentral:rRNA from 1 species
GACGAACGCCGGCGGCGUGCUUAACGCAUGCAAGUCGAACGGUAAGGCCCUUCGGGGUACACGAGUGGCGAACGGGUGAGUAACACGUGGGUGAUCUGCCCUGCACUUCGGGAUAAGCCUGGGAAACUGGGUCUAAUACCGGAUAGGACCACUGCCUGCAUGGGUGGUGGUGGAAAGCUUUUGCGGUGUGGGAUGGGCCCGCGGCCUAUCAGCUUGUUGGUGGGGUGAUGGCCUACCAAGGCGACGACGGGUAGCCGGCCUGAGAGGGUGACCGGCCACACGGGGACUGAGAUACGGCCCAGACUCCUACGGGAGGCAGCAGUGGGGAAUAUUGCACAAGGGGCGCAAGCCUGAUGCAGCGACGCCGCGUGAGGGAUGACGGCCUUCGGGUUGUAAACCUCUUUCAGCACCGACGAAGCGCAAGUGACGGUAGGUGCAGAAGAAGGACCGGCCAACUACGUGCCAGCAGCCGCCGUAA